rnacentral:rRNA from 1 species
CAGCCGCCGCGGGAACACGGAGGGUGCAAGCGUUAAUCGGAAUUACUGGGCGUAAAGCGCACGCAGGCGGUCUGACAAGUCAGAUGUGAAAUCCCCGGGCUUAACCUGGGAACUGCAUUUGAAACUGUCAGGCUGGAGUCUUGUAGAGGGGGGUAGAAUUCCAGGUGUAGCGGUGAAAUGCGUAGAGAUCUGGAGGAAUACCGGUGGCGAAGGCGGCCCCCUGGACAAAGACUGACGCUCAGGUGCGAAAGCGUGGGGAGCAAACAGGAUUAGAUACCCGCGUAGUCCCUGUCUCUUAUAC